CCUACGGGUGGCAGCAGUGGGGAAUAUUGCACAAUGGGCGCAAGCCUGAUGCAGCCAUGCCGCGUGUGUGAAGAAGGCCUUCGGGUUGUAAAGCACUUUCAGCGGGGAGGAAGGCGGUGAGGUUAAUAACCUCAUCGAUUGACGUUACCCGCAGAAGAAGCACCGGCUAACUCCGUGCCAGCAGCCGCGGUAAUACGGAGGGUGCAAGCGUUAAUCGGAAUUACUGGGCGUAAAGCGCACGCAGGCGGUCUGUCAAGUCGGAUGUGAAAUCCCCGGGCUCAACCUGGGAACUGCAUUCGAAACUGGCAGGCUAGAGUCUUGUAGAGGGGGGUAGAAUUCCAGGUGUAGCGGUGAAAUGCGUAGAGAUCUGGAGGAAUACCGGUGGCGAAGGCGGCCCCCUGGACAAAGACUGGCGCUCAGGUGCGAAAGCGUGGGGAGCAAACAGGAUUAGAUACCCGUGUAGUC
rnacentral:rRNA from 1 species